rnacentral:rRNA from 1 species
CCUACGGGUGGCUGCAGUGAGGAAUAUUGGUCAAUGGGCGGAAGCCUGAACCAGCCAUGCCGCGUGCAGGAAGACGGCCCUACGGGUUGUAAACUGCUUUUCCGGGGGAAGAAUAAUCCCGAUGCGUCGGGAGACGACGGUACCCCGGGAAUAAGGAUCGGCUAACUCCGUGCCAGCAGCCGCGGUAAUACGGAGGAUCCGAGCGUUAUCCGGAUUUACGGGGUUUAAGGGGGGCCUCGGCGGGCGCGGAGAAGGGCGGCGGCUCAACCGUAGGACUGCCGUUGAUACUGGGGGCCUUGGAUUCGGUCGAGGCGGGCGGAAUGCGUGGUGUAGCGGUGAAAUGCUUAGAUAUCACGCAGAACGCCGAUUGCGAAGGCAGCUCGCCGGGCCGUUAUCGACGCUGAGGCACGAAAGCGUGGGGAUCGAACAGGAUUAGAUACCCGUGUAGUC